rnacentral:misc_RNA from 1 species
GAUCCCAAAAGAAGAGAUGUUUCGCUUCUCUCAUCAGGUCCCAGAUCAUUUGCUUAAUGGUGAAGAAGCUCAUAAUGCUCCGAAGGGUUGUCGGGAGUUAGAUCCAGCAGCUACUCCUUUGGAACUUCUUCAGGUAAUUGCAGAAGUUAACGAGGAACAAAUGGUAGAAAUUACUGGGAAAUUUGAGGAAGAAAUGGCACCGAAAAUUACAGAAACAAAGGUUGAUCAGAUGGUGGAAAAUGCUUCGACAUUCAAGGAGGUCGAGGUGAUAAAAAGUGAUGAACAAGCUGAAGAUGAUAAAUAAAGAUUUGGUAAAUAGGUGGCUGAGGAAGCCAAUGUUGUAGAUCAUUCUGAAAAGGCUGAGAUAUUAGCUAGUGCAAACUGCUCAAGAUACACCAAUAUAGGUAAGGUUUUCUUUUUUCCUUUUAUUUUGUAAAGCUGAUCCAAACUGUGGAUGGCUUUUUGCAGCAUAACUGGAUCUGCAAAUGCUCCGAAGUCCCCUUUUAAUUUUCUUUCUUUCUUUUUUUGAGUUGACGAAUGCUGAAUUUGGAUACUUGUAACUCAUGCUUGACCAUGAUCAAGUUU